GACGAACGCUGGCGGCGUGCUUAACACAUGCAAGUCGAACGAUGAAGCCAGCUUGCUGGUGGAUUAGUGGCGAACGGGUGAGUAACACGUGGGUGAUCUGCCCCAAACUUUGGGAUAAGCCUGGGAAACUGGGUCUAAUACCGAAUAUGACCGAUACUCGCAUGGGUGUUGGUGGAAAGCUCCGGCGGUUUGGGAUGGGCCCGCGGCCUAUCAGCUUGUUGGUGGGGUAAUGGCCUACCAAGGCGACGACGGGUAGCCGGCCUGGGAGGGCGACCGGCCACACUGGGACUGAGACACGGCCCAGACUCCUACGGGAGGCAGCAGUGGGGAAUAUUGCACAAUGGGCGCAAGCCUGAUGCAGCGACGCCGCGUGAGGGAUGACGGCCUUCGGGUUGUAAACCUCUUUCACCAGGGACGAAGCGAAAGUGACGGUACCUGGAGAAGAAGCACCGGCCAACUACGUG
rnacentral:rRNA from 1 species